rnacentral:lncRNA from 1 species
UCCAUGUUAACUUGGUGUAAGGUAGUCUUGAUGAUGUGUUGAGGCGGUCUGCUCAGUGUAAGAACAAAUAGUUGGCUGCUCCCAUUUGUAUCUCAUUUCGUAAUCAUCACAAGCUAUGCCUAUGUCAAUAUCUAAAUGUUUUUGCUGUUUUUUUCUCCUCCUUAAAUCAAUAUUUUCUUUUGAUUUGUAGGACCGUUAGUAAGGUUGCUCAUCUGCAAGCGAAAGAGCUUUGUGCAUUCUUGCAUGACUAAGGAAGAAAUUUGUUAUUUGAAGUAUGCACUACAGAUAUUGCAAGGUAUUUCUGUUACCAGAUUCAUAUUUUUUGGGACCUAUGUACAGAUAAUAAUUCUUAGCUGCAGUUAUUUUUGUCCUAAAUAGUGGUUCCUUGGAAAGCAGUUUAAUUUCUUGCAUUGAUUCCUCAUGCUAUAAACCACACCUUUCCUAUUUUGUUAAAGAAGUGAAUUCAUUCCUAAACUUACACCACCAGUCAGCCUAGCCACUAGGCCAGGCCAUUCAAGCAAACUCGCUGCCACUACAGUUCAGUUAUUAACUAUGCCUGCGACUAAUUCUAAUCAACGGGACAAAAAACUAUCAGAGGAAUCAAAGGCAUGCAUCUGACCUGAGGUACACACACCAAUUGAAAUAAGAGGUGAUAAUGUUAUCAUAUAGCUAUACUCGAUUUAUUAUUAACUUAACGACCAACCUGGACGGUAAAAAUCUACUUCACUUGGGUAACAGGAGUUGGACACCGAAAGCUUGUUCAAUCAUUUUAAAAUAUUUAUCUUUGUUGUUCCACUUAGCUACACCAUCCGUAAGUGUUUUUUAUAGAAUCUAUAAAAACAAAGUGCUUUGCUUCUUUCCUUGCUUGGUUCAAGGUUCCAGGAUGAUGUUCUGAGAGUCCAGUUUCUUUUUUUUAGAUUUUGUAGUAGCAAAGAUGUGUACAAUAUGGAUAGCUGAAUUGGUGUUUAGGCGUUUCAGUGCAGGACUGCUACUUGCUUGAUUAGUUAGAUGAACUGGUGUUUAGAGAUUUCAAUGCGGAGUGAUGUUUCGGUGUUUAUAAAAAAAAUCAUCAGUACAGCAUGAGAUUACAAAAGACUAUUACCGAAAAAGGCUUUCGCCCCGCUUUAUAAAUAAAGCAAAUACAAAAGACUAUUAAAAGAGGUCAUACUAGCAUAAUCUAUGACCAGUUCCAAAUUACCCAGUGAGACUUAUUCCAUUUGUUUAUCCUUUUGUCCUUUUAAUCAAGAACAUUGUUUAGAGCUUACAUGGUUGUCAAAAUUUAAUUCUGUAAAAGAGGAAUAUUGAUAUCAUGCAAUGAUCAUUGCAGAUUAGGAUAGUUAUAGAGUUCUCCUUAUAGAGUUCUUCCUCAGUUUUCAUUGAGCAAAGACUGAAUCUGUAUGAUUUGUUCUAAUACCAAGUAAAUCAUGGUCUGCAUUGUGUUAGUUUUCCUACUGAGUUUUUUUUUGGCUAUUUUCGUUUAAAUUGGUAGUUGAUGUGAUUUAUGUACUCUGUACAGUGAUGAGUAUACCAUUUAACAUGUGCAUGAUGUUAAAAUUGUGUGAAUCUAAGGGCCUGCUUGCUUCAUAAUCUGUAGCUAAGUUAUUUUAGGAUUUUUUUUAUUUUUAUUUUUGUGUGUGCGAUCUUUACCUGUUGUCAAAUCUAAUUUCACCUCGCGGUCAGUUUUAGCAGUCCAGUGACUGGUGGGCUCGCGCCGCGUGUUUAUUAGCUGGGUUGAUUGAUCUGGCGUGGAAAAGACUUUUGCCCAAUCCCCGCGCGUGCUCCGCUCCCAAUCCUUGUCGCGGGGUUGCUGCACCAAAGCACACACCCGCACCAACCCUUGCCGCCACACCUCUCCUUUCUCCCUCGCUCGACACCAUAGGCGCCGCAUCCCCUCCCUCCUUCCUGCUUGUCUUGAUAGCCGUCGGUCGCCGCAUCCCUUCUCUCCCUUCCUCCUUCCCGCUGGCGCCUCUCGCCCUUGUCCUCGGAUAGGGGCCUCCCGCAUGCACGGCCAGGUCUUCAAAGCGCGAGGCGUGCGGGAGACGUGUGCGAGGCCUACGCGAGUUCCACACUCUCUCAGACGGAUUGAGGAGAAGGGGAGGGGUGCUGCGAUGUGGAUCCAAGGAAGGAGGGCUCGGGCAGCUGCUUCCUCUUCCACCCAGCCGGAUGAGGUGAGCAGCAGCGGUGGGGAUGGGCGACCUCCGACAGAGUUUAGGAAGGGGCGCUGUCAGGACCAGAGUCCCUCUGUACUGAAUUUAAGCACGAACUAGUAGGUUUCAGACAAGAAUUUGGGCGAAUUUAGCUAGGGUUUUCAUUGCAAGAGGAAGGGAAGGUAGUAGCACGCCACCGGCGGCUAGGGUUUACACUCAAUAAUUCUAUUACAUGCCUCGAAUGGAAGGGAAAGCUGGCUUAUGUAGCCAUUACAGUAGCUGUAAAGCAGAAAAGCAGAAAAGUGCAAGCACAUGGCUUGUCGGACGGUGAACAGCUUCUCCCGCGUCUUCUAAGCCGUUGGAUGGUUGAUCGACGGAGGAGAGAAACCCACUUAAGUGAACCAUUAGCUUGGCCCUGAGACCGUAGGAUUUGAGAUGGACGGCUGUCAAUGCAACUGACACGCAGGAACAGGGGAACUUAAGAACUGAGCCUGACAAUACCCCCCGAUUAAGCUGGAGCUUGUCCUCAAGCUCUGAAUGCAGGAAAAGCUUUCUGGAUAAAGGCUGAAUCCUCCCAAGUUGCUUCCUCUGGUGGCAGAUUUGCCCAUUUCACCAACCAUUUGACUACUGGAAUGCUUAUAUUGCCUUGCUUCCUUGGAAUUAGCUUCCUCUCCAGAAUAGUUUCAGGUUCAAUUCUGAUUAUCCCAUCAGGACCAACCAGGGGAAGUUUGGAAGAGGGCACAACCUUGGGUCCAAUAUGCUUUUUAAGCUGACUGGCAUGGAAUGUGUCAUGCAACUGGCAAUCUUCAGGCAAGAGCAACUUGUAUGCAUGAUUUCCAAUUUUACUCAGAAUUUUGAAUGGCCCAUAAAACUUGGAGUGUAGCUUAAUGUGCCUGUGCAGACUGAGAGAAGUAUGUCUGUGAGGUUGCAGCUUAAGAUACACCAUUUCUCCCACCAUCAACUCUCUUUCUUUUCUGUUCCUGUCAGCAAAGAAUUUCAUUCUUGCUUGUGCUUUCAAGAGAUUUUGCUUGAUCACUUCCACUGCUAGCUCUCUGUUCUGCAACAGAUCCUCAUUGUCCACACAAAUAGUGUCAGGCAGAGCUGAUUCAGCCACCAUAGGAGGAGGAAAACCAUAAAGAGCUUGGAAAGGUGUCAUUUUCAGAGAUGUAUGGAAAGAGGUGCUAUACCACCACUCAGCUAAAGCCAGCCAUCCAUGCCAUUUCCUUGGUUGUUGGAAGCACAUACAUCUUAAAUAAUUCUCCAAGCACUGAUUCACUCUCUCUGUUUGCCCAUAUGUUUGUGGAUGAUAACUAGUGCUCAUGUGCAAUUUAAUGUUCGGUGACUUGAACAGCUUUUGCCAGAGAUUGCUAGUGAAGAUUCUAUCUCUGUCAGUCACAAUAACUAGUGGCAUGCCAUGAAGUUUAAACACAUUUUCAGAGAAGGCUCUUGCUACAGACUGGACUGUGAUGGGAUGCUUCAUAGCAAUGAAAUGAGAGUAUUUAGUGAACCUGUCAACCACCACUAGAAUCAAGUUUUUGUUCUCUGAAAUGGGCAAACCCUCUACAAAAUCCAUACUAAUAUGAGCCCAUGCAAAAUCAGGAACAGGGAGUGGCUCUAACAGCCCAGGGUAAGGUGUAUGUUCAGAUUUGUUCAACUGGCAGACAGGGCAAUUUUUCACAAAUGUGAUCACAUCUUGCUUCAUUCCUUGCUAAUGAAAUACUAGUUUUAUUCUCUGAUAAGUAGCUCUUUCACCAGAGUGUCCACCCAGCUCAGAGUUGUGAAAUGUAGCUAGUAUUUCCUACCUCAGGUUAGUGCUUUUUCCCACUACCACCUUAUUGUGAAACCUCAAUAUACCAUUCUUAAAGGAAUAAGCAUUACCAGUGCUUUGAUCCACAGAACACUCAGCAAUUAGUUCCUUGAUUUUGCCAUCCUGCUGAUAACUGCUCACUACUUCCUUAACCCAAGUAGGCAAGGCAACAAUAGUAAAUAUUGCAGAAACUGCAUGUUUUACUCUAGAUAGUGCAUCAGCAGCCCUGUUCUCCUUGCCCUUCUUGUACUCUAUAGUAAAAUUAUACCCAAGUAACUUUAAUAGCAGCUUGUGUUGGAUACCCUCAGUAACUUUCUGCUCUUGGAUGUACUUCAAGCUCUCCUGAUCUGUUCUGAUUAUUAGAGAAGUAGCAGAGAAAUAAUGUUUCCAUUUCUUCACAGCUUCAAUAAUAGCCAUAGCUUCUUUAUCAUAAGUACUUGGUGCAGCAGCUUUAGGGCCAAUACUCUUACUGAAAUAAGCAAGUGGCCUGCCCUCUUGCAUUAGUACAACCCCCAAGCCAUAUCCACAAGCAUCAGCUUCCAAUAUAAAUGGCUUUUUGAAAUCUGGCAGGGCCAGGACAGGUGCAUGAGUGAGUUUCUGUUUCAGUGCUUCAAAUGUUUGUUGUUGCUCCUUUGCCCAAGCAAAAGAAUCCUUCUUAAAGCAGUCAAAGAGAGGCCUGCAGAUUAUCCUAUAUCCCUGGAUAAACCUUCUGUAAUAUCCACUUAAACCCAGAAAACUCCUCAAUUCAGUGACAGUAGUUGGAGCAGGCCAUGACUUGAUAGCCUCAAUCUUUGUAGGGUCAGUAGAAACUCCUUCAGAGUUAAUGACAUGGCCCAAAUACUCAAUCUCCUUCUAACCAAAAGAACAUUUUUCUAACUUGGCAUAUAACUUAUUUGCUUGCAAUAUAUCAAAUACUUGCUUGAGAUGCUCCAAAUGUUCUUCCAUGGAAAAACUGAACACUAGAAUAUCAUCAAAGAAUAGCACUACAAACUUGAGAAGACCAAAUAAGAGAUUCAUUAAAGCCUGGAAUGAAGGAGGUCCAUUAGUAAGUCCAAAUGACAUUACUAAAUACUCAAAUAAUCCCAUAUGAGUUACAAAUGUAGUUUUUGGAAUAUCCUCCUCAGCCAUUCUGAUCUGGUGAUAGCCAUUUCUCAGAUCAAUUUUUGAAAAUACUUUUGCUCCUUUGAGUUGGUCCAACAGAUCUUCUAUAACUGGAAUGGGAUAUUUGUUUUUGAUUGUAAUUGCAUUUAACUUUCUAUAGUCAGUAUAGAGCCUCCAUAACCCAUCUUUUUUCUUAACUAACAGCACAGGGGAGGAGAAUGGACUAGUGAUGGGCCUGAUAAUACCAUUCUUCAGGAGUUCCAAGAUAAUCUUCUUCAGGAUUUCUUUUUGAUGCUGAGGAAUUCUAUAUGGCCUUUGGUUAACCACUUUUGCUCCCUCUACCAAAGGAAUUCUACGAUCACAGGGCCUACUUGGUGGAAGUUCAGUAGGUUCCUGAAAUAGUUUCUCAUACUGAUCCAACAGUGGUUUGAAUGCAGCAGGAGUCUCUUGAGCAGCUGCUACCAUUUGAGGACCAGAAGUAGUAAACAAGAAGAAUCCACACACAGCUUGUUCCACUAAUUUCUCAGUGUGGUCAGUUACUUCAGUAACAGUAGUAAGAGGUACAGUUUCAUCCACAAAAGUGAUAAACUGCCCUUCAGGAGCAGAUAUCUUCAUUUCCAUCUUAAUGAAAUCCAUUUGUAUGGGGCUAUAUUUCCUCAACCAAUCUACUCCUAAGAUGAUGUCAUAGCCUUUUAACUUUAGUACUCUGAAGCUGUCAAUAAAUGCAUGGCCUUGUAUUGCAUAGUGACAGUUCUUUGCUUGGAAUUCACUCCAGAGGAUCCCUACACUAGCAACUACUCCCUCCGUCCCAAAAUUCUUGUCUUAGAUUUGUCCAAAUACGGAUGUAUCAAGUCACAUUUUAGUAUUAAGUACAUCCGUAUCUAGACAAAUCUAAGACAAGAAUUUUGGGACGGAGGGAGUACUACUUUAGUUUUUGGUGUAGGACUGGGAACAACAUCCGACUUAGUAGCCACCUGAGGAGAUAUAAAAGUAGUAGUACUGCCACUGUCCACCAGUGCAAUUGCCAGAGUAUUUCCCAAUUUAACUGUCAGUAUGAAAGUAUUUUUAGUUGCUCCAAUGCCCAUGGCAGCAUGCAUUGAUACUUUCAGUACUGUUUCCUCAGUUAGCUGCUCUGUAUUGUCUAGCUCCUGAUCAUCAUAUUCUGCCACAAAUAUAGUUUCAGGAGUUCCAUCUUCUUGAGCUUGUAGAGCUUGGAUUUGAGCUUUCUGGUUCAUUUUACACACUUGCCUAUGACCAGGCACCCAAGGCUCUCUACAUUUAUAACACACCUGGUUCUGUUUGGCCUGCUGAAUAACCACAUUCCUGUUUUGUGGUGCAGUUGGAAGCAGUUGUUUGGGCUGUUCAAAAAUGACUUAUCUUUUUGGUUGAGGAACAUACUGCUUAUUUUGCACUGACUGAGAGGAAGGCUGAGAUUUCUCCAUUCUUCUGGCAUACCACACUGCAGUUUGCAGAUCUUUUGGUUUAAAACAUUCCACUAAACUUCUGAUGUAAGGGUUGAGGCCUGAGACAAAGCUGGAGACAUAAUAGUCAUCAGGUAUAGCAGGGUUUUCUCUCCUCAUUCCAUUGACCAAUUGCUCAAAUUGUUCCACAUAAGCAGCCAUUGUUGUUGCUUGAUGUGCAGCAUGAAAGUUACUGACCACAUCACAAGCUGAUUCCACAGAGAACCUAUCAGAUAGGUAAGAACAGAAUUUAUGCCAUGGCACAUUGGAGGGUGCAUAUCCAGUACCCCUCCACCACUGAAUAGCAGGUCCUUUAAGAUAAGAAAUUGCCAGUUCUGUUCUAUGUUCAAUGGGAGUUCUUGCAGCAGCAAAAUACUGUUCCAAAUUCUGAAUCCAUGACUCAGGAUCUUGUCCUUCAAAUUCUGAUAUGUUCAACUUAGCAGGCUUAACAGUCAGAACAUUCCUUUUUCUGUAAUAAUUCUCAACUCCAUCUUCCUGUAUUUCCUCCAACUGAAUUACAUUUCUCUGCACUGCCUGAAACUGUUCCUUGUCCUUACUCUGACCAUAGUGUGGGUUCCUGUAGGGAACCUUAGGAGUCCCAUCCAUAUUCAGUUCCUUACCAGCCUGAUCACGCAGAACAGCUGUCCCAAUUGGAAAAGGGGCAACUUUGUCAGGCAUUGCCACCGAUGGUGGUGUAGGAGCUUGGAGCUGCUUGGGCCUACCCGGAGCUACCUGAGGUGAGUUAACAUGGUUGUCCUUAACCUGCACACUGCCUUGGCCUUCUUCAACCUGAUCCUCCUGUGCUGGCUCGGGUUCUAACAACAGACGCCUGAAAUUGUCCUGAAUUUUCUCAAAGUUCUUUUGCAUCGUUGCAAAAUUUCUGUUUACAGAUGCCUGAAACUGCUGGAACUCCUUGCGAUCCUCUUCUCGCUCCCGCUGGAACGUUUUGAUGUCCAACUCAAGGGAAUCCAGCUACAAUUCGGCCGUUGACCCUGAAUCCAUCGGGCCCGUCAUCUUGAAAUCGUCGGCAAUCAACACCAUAGAGGGUUGGGAGGGUGGGAGGACUAGUCACCGCCGCCUACGCCGCCGCCAGCGCCCACCUCCGAUGGUACACGAGCAGAUCACAGGAGCUGGGAUUUCACUACCUGAAAAGUGUUCCCGGGCAACCAGACUGUUCUUCUGCUUGUACCCGAACUCUGCCACUCUGGCCGCCACCAGAUGCCACUGCCGCUAGAUCGGGGUGAGAUGAGGGAUUUUACAGCCGGAACCAACCUCUUCUACCCCCAAUCAACCAUGCCGCCGAGGAAGGACUGGCUCUGAUACCAAUUGUCAGGACCAGAGUCCCUCUGUACUGAAUUUAAGCACGAACUAGUAGGUUUCAGACAAGAAUUUGGGCGAAUUUAGCUAGGGUUUUCAUUGCAAGAGGAAGGGAAGGUAGUAGCACGCCACCGGCGGCUAGGGUUUACACCCAAUAAUUCUAUUACAUGCCUCGAAUGGAAGGGAAAGCUGGCUUAUAUAGCCAUUACAGUAGCUGUAAAGCAGAAAAGCAGAAAAGUGCAAGCACAUGGCUUGUCGGACGGUGAACAGCUUCUCCCGCGUCUUCUAAGCCGUUGGAUGGUUGAUCGACGGAGGAGAGAAACCCACUUAAGUGAACCGUUAGCUUGGCCCUGAGACCGUAGGAUUUGAGAUGGACGGCUGUCAAUGCAACUGACAUGCAGGAACAGGGGAACUUAAGAACUGAGCCUGACAGGUGCAUAUCAGGGUGAGCUUCCCCAAUCCUUAUUUCCCCUCCGCUCAUGAUCUCUCUCUCCUACCCAUCUUCUAUGCAAGAUUUGUGUAGCCUAAAGCCUUUGUAUGAUACGUGUAGGUAUACCUUUGGAAGAAAAAAUCAAUCAAAUGUUAAUUCUCCAAGGUAACUUGCCUUUUCUACGCAGGUACUGCUUGUUUAGUACUGUGGAUAGUACUGUGGAUAAGUAAAUGUAAGCAUGCCCCAAUAAUGAUACGAACAAGGUUUGAGAGGCUCAAUCAUUUUCAUUUAUACUAAGAAUUAACCAGUUCACUAAUUUCUAUGCUACUAAUAGUGUCGUCUGAAUAUAUCUACUACAUUCACUGCACUGUGCUUACAUUCACACUGAUUGUAGCUGCAAGUUAAGAUCUAAUUGUCCAAGAUAAUUCUGAGGACCUAACACAACGUGCGGUUUUGAACUAAGUGAUAUUUUCUGGCCUUACUCCCAUGUACUUUUAAAAUCAAUUUUAAUGAUAUCGAUAGGUUAAGGUCAUUCAUGAGGAGAGGUGUUGGGGCGGAGUCCCAGGUGUAGCUACUAUUGCCCUAUCAAUUCUGUAGUCACCUCUUUCUGAACAUUGGUUAGUUCUUCACGAGCGAUACUAUACUCUUGCUGCCUCUUAGUAUUCUCCGUUUAUUCUAAUAAGUGUAUGUGGACACACGCAGACAGUAACGGAACAAGCACAACAGUUCUCUUUGUGUUUUAGUGGGUAUAUGUGGAUGUACAGAAAGUGGUCUCUGUUUAUUAACGGGUUACAUGUUGCUGCAAUGAAAAUGUAUAUGGUGAUUUUCAUUCUGGUUUGCAGGGUAGUACAUGGAGCAUAGAAACUGAGUCGAAAGUCUGUCUUUUGUGCAGGAAUUUACUGCAGGUCUGAUCCCUUGCUCGUGCUCUCUGCUUGUCCUCACUCUGUAGACCUUUCCUUUGCUCGUAGCCAUACAUUUUAUUCAGAGUGCUGUCAAGACGCAUCUCCUCUGCCUAUAUGGCGGGCAGAGGGCCUAAGCUCUAGGUGAGCUCCUCCUCCACCCUACAAAUGUUGUAUUUGUUAUGAUGUUUCCAUUGUUAAUGUCUGCAAUCUAAUGCCUUGCUCUGCUAUUUUUAUUUCUAAUCUCAACAUACUCUGUACAGUGAUGAGUAUACCAUUUAACAUGUGCAUGAUGUUAAAAUUGUGUGAAUCUAAGGGCCUACAUGCUUCAUAAUCUGUAGCCAAGUUAUUUUAGGACUUUUUAUUUUGUGUGUGCGAGGAGAAAUUGUACUAUCUCUUCAUGAUUCAUCGUUUAUAUAUUAGUUGGAUAGUAUCUCUUUAUUCGGUUCUUGUGACUGACCUGCUGCUUUACUUAUAUGGACAGCUUAAACUGAAAUCAAUGCAUGGUAUUGUUCAAUUCGAAGUGUACUUGACGUGUGCAGAUCUGAGGAUAAAGGGAAGAAGACGGAAUUUAGCUGAGGAGUUGAAUAGGAUCAAGGUUAUUAUUCCACAAUCAUUUGUUGGGUUUAAGGAUAUAAACAACAUGGCUUACGAGGAUUUGGACUGCUGUUCUUUUAGUUCCACUCUUAAAUCUUUUGGUUCUUGAAGGCCUGCACUUUCCUGGUGGAGUAAGAGCAAAAUAAUUCAGAGGCUUUAAAGCUGCUGCACUUUAGUAGUUAGGAUUAAUUCUUUGUUUUGGUUUGAAAUGCUCCCCAAUUCCUCUUAUUUGAUUGAUUCAUCUGAUGGUCAUUUGUCAGGCAAAUAAACAGAAGGCAUAUGUAUUGUUUUGAGUGAAGCCAUCCAUACAAGGCAAUAUAUUAAUUAUCCCAUAUGUGGAAUUCAAGAUAGAGAGAAAUGUUAUUGUUCUUCUGCUAAUUGGUUGCUUGACAAAUGUACUAUAAAUGAUGUUAUUAUUGUACGAGAUAUAGAGAAAUGUUAUUGUUCUUCAAUUAUUGAGAUGAUAGAAGUACUACUUAGCAGUUUUGUCUCUGACCGAACGAAGCUCUCGAGUAAGAAGGGAUGAAUAAGUGAUGGGUCAAACUGGCUGCCAUACGAAUGCUUUGAAAUAUGGCACAUAAGUACUUUCUUUUUCAAACACACAGAA